AAGCAGAUCUGCUCACGGUAUCCAUGGGUGAACCUUCGAGCAUCAUUGAGAAUUUGGUGUUGGCCUGUGACGUUCCACCCGCAUCGAUUCUGGCGAGUUGGAAGUUGGCCGAUCCCUUACUUGGCCUGGAGCCGUGAAGACGCAGCAGCCACACGUAUGUCACCUGUGUGACUGACAGCAGAGCUGAUGGCAUGAGCUGACCGUUGUAACAGAACCGGAUGGCCCUGCUGACAGCCUACUGACUCAAGAGGUUCAAUUGGCAAUGCCAAAGCCAGAAGAAACAUCUAAACCAAAGAAAACGCAACGAGUGUCAAGAGUGAUGACUAUCUUGACCACACCUUCACCCACAGAAAAGCUCGGGGAAAGGAGUGCUCCACCAAUCUCAAAAGUGAACUCAAACUUUCCAAAAGGAAGGAUUGUGACCCCUGUUGCAGCUGCGCCAGACAGCGGUGGAGGUAGUGUCUCCGAGGCAUUACCAAAGAGCUUUCCGCAUGUGGUUCCUGUAAAACUAUGGCAUAACCCAGCGCCAAUGAUUCGUGUGAAUAAGCCUAGUACAUUGCAACACCCACUGGGUCAGUUGGAGGCAAACUUAGGCAGGCCAUCCACACUGCUUGUGAAUAACGAAAGUGGCAUGCACU
rnacentral:lncRNA from 1 species